GGGGUUGUAGCUCAGUGGUAGAGCACUCACCUAACACAUGUGAGACACUGGGUUCAAUCCUCAACACCA
rfam:Ictidomys tridecemlineatus contig023761, whole genome shotgun sequence.